GGGGCCGUAGUCUAGCUUGGGAGGAUGCCAGCCUGGGGUGAGCACCCCGUAGCAAGGGAUCCCAGAGCGCUGGUGGUCCCGGGUUCAAAUCCCGGCGGCCCCA
rnacentral:tRNA from 1 species